AGGACGAACGUUGGCGGCGUGCCUUACACAUGCAAGUCGUACGCGAAAGGGGAAUCCAGCUUGCUGGGGACCCCCGGUAGAGUGGCGAACGGGAGCGUAACACGUGAGGAACCUGCCUCGGAGUGGGGAAUAACCCAGAGGAAUCUGGGCUAAUUCCGCAUGAUGCAGCGGCCCCGCAUGGGGACAGUUGUUAAAGACCGCCUCUGCUUGCAAGCGGUUGCUUCGAGAUGGUCUCGCGGCCUAUCAGCUAGUUGGCGGGGUAAUCGGCCCACGAAGGCGACGACGGGUAGCCGGCCUGAGAGGGU
rnacentral:rRNA from 1 species